GCAGAGAUGCUUUGGUGCCUUCGGGAACUCGUGAGACAGGUGCUGCAUGGCUGUCGUCAGCUCGUGUUGUGAAAUGUUGGGUUAAGUCCCGCAACGAGCGCAACCCUUAUCCUUUGUUGCCAGCGGCUCGGCCGGGAACUCAAAGGAGACUGCCGGUGAUAAACCGGAGGAAGGUGAGGAUGACGUCAAGUCAUCAUGGCCCUUACGGCCAGGGCUACACACGUGCUACAAUGGCGCAUACAAAGAGAAGCGACCUCGCGAGAGCAAGCGGACCUCACAAAGUGCGUCGUAGUCCGGAUUGGAGUCUGCAACUCGACUCCAUGAAGUCGGAAUCGCUAGUAAUCGUAGAUCAGAAUGCUACGGUGAAUACGUUCCCGGGCCUUGUACACACCGCCCGUCACACCAUGGGAGUGGGUUGCAAAAGAAGUAGGUAGCUUAACCUUCGGGAGGGCGCUUACCACUUUGUGAUUCAUGACUGGGGUGAAGUCGUAACAAGGUAAGCGUAGCGAG
rnacentral:rRNA from 1 species